UUCUGAUCUUUUGGGUUGGAUUUCGAAUAUGUUGCAGUUGAAAGAAAGAUAGAUCAAGGUCGAAUUCGCUGAUAUUAUACUGGUGAUAAGUUAACUGUGAUAUUCGGAAGGAUAUUUUUGUAUUCGUAAGGAUAUCCUUAUCAAACCAGAGGUACUAUGGAAAAUUUGUUAGUGUUUUAUGGGCACAUCGUACGUGAGGGUCCUUCUGGUGUGGAUGUGUCUAGGUGCGGGAUGACUACGGUUGUAGUGAAAGACAUGGUUAAUGUAGAGUAUGCGGCAGUUAGAAGGUGCAUCCGAGCGGUGUUUGGUUCAGCGAUGAAUGGAAAAAAAUGACCAUGGAGGCUUUCGUGGUUGAGGGAGGAAAUCGU